rnacentral:rRNA from 1 species
AGUGAGGAAUAUUGGACAAUGGGCGGGAGCCUGAUCCAGCCAUGCCGCGUGCAGGAAGACUGCCCUAUGGGUUGUAAACUGCUUUUUUACGGGAAGAAACACCCCCACGUGUGGGGGCUUGACGGUACCGUACGAAUAAGGACCGGCUAACUCCGUGCCAGCAGCCGCGGUAAUACGGAGGGUCCGAGCGUUAUCCGGAAUCAUUGGGUUUAAAGGGUCCGUAGGCGGGCGUCUAAGUCAGUGGUGAAAUUCUGCAGCUCAACUGUAGGACUGCCAUUGAUACUGGUCGCCUUGAAUUAGUGUGAAGUGGCUAGAAUAUGUAGUGUAGCGGUGAAAUGCUUAGAUAUUACAUAGAAUACCGAUUGCGAAGGCAGGUCACUAACACUAUAUUGACGCUGAUGGACGAAAGCGUGGGGAGCGAACAGGAUUAGAUACCCUGGUAGUCCACGCCGUAAACGAUGGAUACUAGCUGUCCGGCCUGCAUUGGUAGGCUGGGUGGCCAAGCGAAAGUGAUAAGUAUCCCACCUGGGGAGUACGUUCGCAAGAAUGAAACUCAAAGGAAUUGACGGGGGCCCGCACAAGCGGUGGAGCAUGUGGUUUAAUUCGAUGAUACGCGAGGAACCUUACCAGGGCUUAAAUGUAGUCUGACAGGGGUGGAAACACCCCCUUCUUCGGACAGACUGCAAGGUGCUGCAUGGUUGUCGUCAGCUCGUGCCGUGAGGUGUCAGGUUAAGUCCUAUAACGAGCGCAACCCCUGUCGUUAGUUGCCAGCAUGUAAAGAUGGGAACUCUAACGAGACUGCCGGUGCAAACCGUGAGGAAGGUGGGGAUGACGUCAAAUCAUCACGGCCCUUACGUCCUGGGCCACACACGUGCUACAAUGGCAGGUACAAUGGGCAGCCACGCCGCAAGGCGGAGCGAAUCCACAAAACCUGUCUCAGUUCGGAUCGGGGUCUGCAACUCGACCCCGUGAAGCUGGAAUCGCUAGUAAUCGGAUAUCAGCCAUGAUCCGGUGAAUACGU